rnacentral:tRNA from 1 species
CGUUCUAUGGCCGAACUGGUAAAGGCAAUUAUAUUUAUUUUUACAUUAAUUACAACGACAAUGUUAUCAAUUACAAGCGAGUUAUCAAUUAGCAUCGCCAAUUACAGGCGAAGAUGCGGGUUCGAGUCCCGCUCGAACUG